CAAACGCGGUGAGUCUACACGAGUUCAGCAAGACGGCAUCCUCUCCCAAGAAUGAAAGAAGCCUGGAUACCUCUUCAUAAUGCCCAGUUUUCCUGGCCCCCUCACCCUCCGUUGCCUCUCCAGCCGCUGGCCCGGGCCCAGGGGCUCUCCUCCCGUUCGGUCCUCCUGGCUGUGACCCGGCUCCUCAAGCUCCGACUCCCGCCGCCGUUCGUCGUGAAGGGCUGAUGGAUUGUCGCGCACCUCGGAGCGUCGGGCCGCCCGUCCACUUUCACGGUAGUCUCCACCAGCCGACCACGGAAAAUGAAGGUCAAGCAUUUUCCACAUUAGCAGCUUUACCAGGAGGGCAGAAAUGGAUAUCUGCUGUAAUUACCCUUCAUCUCUCCCCCACCACCACCACCACCGCCACCACCACUGAAAAAAAAAAGAACUGCUCCACACGUGUAUCUCCCAAAACUGAUGGUUCUCUUCAACACGCUUUCAUAACAGACAAGAGAAUGAUGCAGAGGCAAUAUUAGAUGAGGUAUUUUAGAAAUUGGGGUAAAGGUGAGACGGGCACCUCUGAGUUCAUGCCAACUGUCUGGCACCAAACGGACUUCCAAGUAGUUAACCAUCUAAAUCCGGUGUGUGUGUGCUUCUCAAACAGACUGAAAAAUGCACUAAAGCGUGUCUUAUUGUAAAGAAAAUACAGUCCUUCAUCCAGUUCUUUAAGUUUAUUUUUUAUUAUUUUAACUUUAUACGUGCCUGCUGCAUCAUAUAAAGGAGGUUUUACUUUUAAAGCAGGACUCGUAAAAGCGGCGCUGUUCACACAUAUGCAGGAAGCAUUACGCUCCUUUAAGCGCCUCCACGGGGUCGCUUCUCUUUCAGCCAAGUGUCAACAAACAGCUCGUAAUAUCCGUUGAAAGUAAAGACAUGUACGGUAAA